GACGAACGCUGGCGGCGUGCCUAAUACAUGCAAGUUGAGCGCUGAAGGUUGGUACUUGUACCAACUGGAUGAGCAGCGAACGGGUGAGUAACGCGUGGGGAAUCUGCCUUUGAGCGGGGGACAACAUUUGGAAACGAAUGCUAAUACCGCAUAAAAACUUUAAACACAAGUUUUAAGUUUGAAAGAUGCAAUUGCAUCACUCAAAGAUGAUCCCGCGUUGUAUUAGCUAGUUGGUGAGGUAAAGGCUCACCAAGGCGAUGAUACAUAGCCGACCUGAGAGGGUGAGCGGCCACAUUGGGACUGAGACACGGCCCAAACUCCUACGGGAGGCAGCAGUAGGGAAUCUUCGGCAAUGGACGAAAGACUGACCGAGCAACGCCGCGUGAGUGAAGAAGGUUGUCGGAUCGUAAAACUCUGUUGGUAGAGAAGAACGUUGGUGAGAGUGGAAAGCUCAUCAAGUGACGGUAACUACCCAGAAAGGGACGGCUAACUACGUG
rnacentral:rRNA from 1 species